UACGAAGGGGGCUAGCGUUGCUCGGAAUCACUGGGCGUAAAGGGCGCGUAGGCGGCGUUUUAAGUCGGGGGUGAAAGCCUGUGGCUCAACCACAGAAUGGCCUUCGAUACUGGGACGCUUGAGUAUGGUAGAGGUUGGUGGAACUGCGAGUGUAGAGGUGAAAUUCGUAGAUAUUCGGAAGAACACCCGUGGCUAAGGCGGCUCACUGGCCCGGUACUGACGCUGAGACGCGAAAGCGUGGGGAGCGAACAGG
rnacentral:rRNA from 1 species